GACGAACGCUGGCGGCGUGCUUAACACAUGCGAGUCGAACGGUGAUGCUCCAGCUUGCUGGAGUGGAUCAGUGGCGAACGGGUGAGUAACACGUGAGCAACCUGCCCCAGACUCUGGAAUAAGCGCUGGAAACGGCGUCUAAUACUGGAUACGAAACUGGCCCGCAUGGGCAUGGUUUGGAAAGUUUUUCGGUUUGGGAUGGGCUCGCGGCCUAUCAGCUUGUUGGUGAGGUAAUGGCUCACCAAGGCGACGACGGGUAGCCGGCCUGAGAGGGCGACCGGCCACACUGGGACUGAGACACGGCCCAGACUCCUACGGGAGGCAGCAGUGGGGAAUAUUGCACAAUGGGCGAAAGCCUGAUGCAGCGACGCCGCGUGAGGGAUGACGGCUUUCGGGUUGUAAACCUCUUUCAGCAGGGAAGAAGCGAAAGUGACGGUACCUGCAGAAGAAGCACCGGCUAACUACGUG
rnacentral:rRNA from 1 species